rnacentral:rRNA from 1 species
AGUGAACGCUGGCGGUAGGCCUAACACAUGCAAGUCGAACGGCAGCACAGUAAGCGCUUGCUCUUACGGGUGGCGAGUGGCGGACGGGUGAGGAAUACAUCGGAAUCUACUUUUUCGUGGGGGAUAACGUAGGGACACUUACGCUAAUACCGCAUACGACCUACGGGUGAAAGCAGGGGAUCUUCGGACCUUGCGCGAUUGAAUGAGCCGAUGUCGGAUUAGCUAGUUGGCGGGGUAAAGGCACACCAAGGCGACGAUCCGUAGCUGGUCUGAGAGGAUGAUCAGCCACACUGGAACUGAGACACGGUCCAGACUCCUACGGGAGGCAGCAGUGGGGAAUAUUGGACAAUGGGCGCAAGCCUGAUCCAGCCAUACCGCGUGAGUGAAGAAGGCCUUCGGGUUGUAAAGCUCUUUUGUUGGGAAAGAAAAGCAGCAGGUUAAUACCCCGCUGUUCUGACGGUACCCAAAGAAUAAGCACCGGCUAACUUCGUG